GAUGAACGCUGGCGGCGUGCCUAAUACAUGCAAGUCGAGCGAACGGACGAGAAGCUUGCUUCUCUGAUGUUAGCGGCGGACGGGUGAGUAACACGUGGAUAACCUACCUAUAAGACUGGGAUAACUUCGGGAAACCGUAGCUAACAUCGGAUAAUAUUUUGAACCGCAUGGUUCAAAAGUGAAAGACCGUCUUGCUGUCACUUAUAGAUGGAUCCGCGCUGCAUUAGCUAGUUGGUAAGGUAACGGCUUACCAAGGCAACGAUGCAUAGCCGACCUGAGAGGGUGAUCGGCCACACUGGAACUGAGACACGGUCCAGACUCCUACGGGAGGCAGCAGUAGGGAAUCUUCCGCAAUGGGCGAAAGCCUGACGGAGCAACGCCGCGUGAGUGAUGAAGGUCUUCGGAUCGUAAAGCUCUGUUAUUAGGGAAGAACAUAUGUGUAAGUAACUGUGCACAUCUUGACGGUACCUAAACAGAAAGCCACGGCUAACUACGUG
rnacentral:rRNA from 1 species